GAGACAAACAAAUCUGCCCUGCUGGAAACUUCAGGUGUGCCAGGAUGUCUUCAUUUUAUUAUGUAAAAAAUGUAAACAGUAAGCAGAUCCUACAUUCAAGAGGAGCGCAGAUCUCGUUAGCCAGAGCAGCCCCCAGUGAGCCUGGAGCUGCAAACACCCCUGGCUGCUUUUGGCCUCUGAGCACAGCUCUGCCCCACAAGGGGUCAGGACAAACCAGAGCCCUGACGCUGCCCUGCAGUGCCAGUCUGCCCAUAAACACAGGACCAGCAUUUCCACCUGAGCCUGGGAGAGAACUGGACCCGAGCACUUCAUCAGCUCUGAGUGUUCAGAGAGCCAUGGACACCCUGGAACUUUGCUCUUGUGUUUUCCUUGGCAGGUGAGUUUAACAAAAUGCCAGAGAUGAGAAACACCAAACUAAGCUUCCCUUUGCUGGAGACAAUCAGCUUCAGUCUCACCUCCACCACAUUUCAAAAGCAAGCAGCCCUAGAGAGUGACUCCUCACACGCUGCUUGCCUUGCCAGAGCUGUGCUAGCCCGUGGAAUUCUUACAGAAAUGCCAGUGCAGCCUGAGCUGCUUUGUUCCAGUUCCUCUUGGUUCUGUCUGGAGUGGUGCAGAGAGAGGUUGGACAAUGCUAACACUGCUCCAAUUUUCCAAAGUACCAGUGGCUGUAAAACCAUAAAUCAGGAGGAAUAAGACUGAAAAAUAAACACAAACAGAAAUCAG
rnacentral:lncRNA from 12 species